UACGUAGGGGGCAAGCGUUGUCCGGAAUCAUUGGGCGUAAAGCGCGCGUAGGCGGCCCUGUAAGUCCGCUGUAAAAGUCAAAGGCUCAACCUUUGAAAGCCGGUGGAUACUGCAGGGCUAGGGUCCGGAAGAGGCGAGUGGAAUUCCUGGUGUAGCGGUGGAAUGCGCAGAUAUCAGGAGGAACACCAAUAGCGAAGGCAGCUCGCUGGGACGGUACUGACGCUAAGGCGCGAAAGCGUGGGGAGCGAACAGG
rnacentral:rRNA from 1 species